rnacentral:rRNA from 1 species
AACGAACGCUGGCGGCAGGCCUAAAACAUGCAAGUCGAACGAACCUUCGGGUUAGUGGCGCACGGGUGCGUAACGCGUGGGAAUAUACCUCUGGGUGCGGAACGACGUCUGGAAACGGACGCUAAUACCGCAUAAUAUCUACGGAUCAAAGAUUUAUCGCCCAGAGAUUAGCCCGCGUCUGAUCAGCUAGUUGGUGAGGUAAUGGCUCACCAAGGCGCAGAUCAGUAGCUGGUCUGAGAGGAUGAUCAGCCACACUGGAACUGAGACACGGUCCAGAGUCCGAAGGGAGGCAGCAGGGGGGAAUAUUGGACAAUGGGGGAAACCCUGAUGCAGCAAGGCCGCGUGAGUGAAGAAGGCCUUAGGGGUGUAAAGCUCUUUCGGCUGUGAAGAUAAUGACAGUAGCAGAAGAAGAAGCUCCGGCUAAAUUCGUGCCAGCCGCCGCAGUAA